rnacentral:rRNA from 1 species
CUUACUCCCCGUGUUGCGUCUUGCCCUCCACGACUUAUUAGACUACCCUAGGGUACGUACCNCGACCGUAAACGNGUAGGAAUCGACAGUAGAUAGUACGGGAGAACCACCGAGGUGGACGAAGGCGGUCUUUCGUGGUCUAGUAACUGACGCUGGACGGCGACGAAGUCGGUGGGGACGACAAACGAGGUAUUAGACCUACCGUGGUACGUCCACCGUACCGUAAACGAGUGAGUGACUAGUGGUUAGGGGUUUCCCNCCCCUUAGUGCUGCAGCUAACGCAUUAAGCACUCCGCCGUGGGGAGUACGGUCGCAAGGCUAGAACUCAAAGGAUUGACGGGACCCGCACAAGCGGUGGAGCAUGUGUCGACGCGGCCG